UACGUAGGGGCCUAGCGUUGUCCGGAUUUAUUGGGCGUAAAGAGCUCGUAGGCGGUUCGGUAAGUCAGGUGUGAAAUCUCCACGCUCAACGUGGAGGCGCCACCUGAAACUGCCGUGACUCGAGUCCGGUAGGGGAGUGUGGAAUUCCCGGUGUAGCGGUGAAAUGCGCAGAUAUCGGGAAGAACACCCGUGGCGAAGGCGGCUCUCUGGGACGGUACUGACGCUGAGGUGCGAAAGCGUGGGGAGCAAACAGG
rnacentral:rRNA from 1 species